UACAGAGGGUGCAAGCGUUGUUCGGAAUUACUGGGCGUAAAGCGUGCGUAGUCGGUAUUGAGAGUCGCGGGUGAAAUCCCGAGGGCUUAACCCUGGAACUGCCUGCGAGACCUCAGUACUAGAGUGUGAGAGGGGAUAGUGGAAUACCCGAGUGUAGCGGUGAAAUGCGUAGAGAUUGGGUGGAACACCGGUGGCGAAGGCGGCUAUCUGGCUCACGAACUGACGAUCAGGCACGAAAGCGUGGGGAGCAAACAGG
rnacentral:rRNA from 1 species